UAGAGCACAAACCACUGUGGUAAUUUUUAAAUCAAUUAUUCAAGCUGAAAAUACUUAUAUUUAUGGGACUCUCUGUACCCCUUGGUUUCAAGUAAGCUCUGGACUUUGCUUGGUUUUAAGGGGGUAUGUAGCCCUUCCCCUUAGCCCAACCCCUUGAUCAAAAGAAAUAUUGGGAUAGCCCUUCCUCUCAUGUGAACGU